rnacentral:rRNA from 1 species
AGCACCUUCGGGUGUGAAUUAGCGGCGAACGGGUGAGGAACACGUGAAGAAUCUGCCUUCAACACUGGGAUAACUCCGGGAAACCGGGGCUAAUACCGGAUAUGAGCCUUGAUCGCAUGAUCGGGGCUGGAAAGUUUUUCGGUUGAAGAUGACUUCGCGGCCUAUCAGCUUGUUGGUGAGGUAAUGGCUCACCAAGGCGACGACGGGUAGCCGGCCUGAGAGGGCGACCGGCCACACUGGGACUGAGACACGGCCCAGACUCCUACGGGAGGCAGCAGUGGGGAAUAUUGGGCAAUGGAGGAAACUCUGACCCAGCGACGCCGCGUGAGGGAUGAAGGCCUUCGGGUUGUAAACCUCUUUCAGUAGGGAAGAAGCGAAAGUGACGGUACCUACAGAAGAAGCACCGGCUAACUAUGUGCCAGCAGCCGCGGUAAUACAUAGGGUGCAAGCGUUGUCCGGAAUUAUUGGGCGUAAAGAGCUCGUAGGUGGUUCGAUACGUCGGAUGUGAAAAUCAGGGGCUCAACCCCUGACCUGCAUCCGAUACGGUCGAGCUAGAGUUUGGUAGGGGAGACUGGAAUUCCUGGUGUAGCGGUGGAAUGCGCAGAUAUCAGGAGGAACACCGAUGGCGAAGGCAGGUCUCUGGGCCAAUACUGACACUGAGGAGCGAAAGCGUGGGGAGCGAACAGGAUUAGAUACCCUGGUAGUCCACGCCGUA